rnacentral:lncRNA from 1 species
AUGGCAGGUGGGUAUGCCCAGGGGCCCUGGGGUGAAACCCGUACAUAUACCCACCCCAGGCCAGACUGCCUUCAUCCUGUCUGUUUGAUAUGGCAGGUGGGUAUGCCCAGGGGCCCUGGGGUGAAACCCGUACAUCUACUUACCCCCAGGCUAGACUGCCUUCGUCUUGUCUGUUUGAUGUGGCAGGUGGGUAUGCCCAGGGGCCCUGGGGUGAAACCCGUACAUCUACUUACCCCCAGGCUAGACUGCCUUCAUCCUGUCUGUUUAAUAUGGCAGGUGGGUAUGCCCAGGGGCCCUGGCGUGAAACCCGUACAUCUACUUACCCCCAGGCUAGACUGCCUUCAUCCUGUCUGUUUAAUAUGGCAGGUGGGUAUGCCCAGGGGCCCUGGCGUGAAACCCGUACAUCUACUUACCCCCAGGCCAGACUGCCUUCAUCCUGUCUGUUUGAUAUGGCUGGUGGGUAUGCCCAGGGGCCCUGGGGUGAAACCCGUACAUCUACUUACCCCCAGGCUAGACUGCCGUCAUCUUGUCUGUUUGAUGUGGCAGGUGGGGGAGAAUUACCAAGAGGUCAUCACACAGGCCAUGGACAAGUUCUACAAGAGCCAGGUAGAAGAGCACUGUCCUGGCAUGCUGCCCAGCACCCCACUCACACCCAUCUCACUUGACAGCUUCCUCGAAGCAGACCUUGAAAGUCCAGGCUCCCUGAGAAGCCUGGGGAGGAGACUCUGCUGGGCUAAAGAACCUACCCCCAAAGGUGCCACCCUCACCAGUGUCAUCCUGACAAUCUUGGAUUAUUAUUGCCCUGAAGUUUUGGAGUGGGGGACAGACAGGAGAGUGCCCAUUAGCCACCUUUCCAGAGAGCAUCAGCCCUCCAGACUGGGGCAGCUCAGACCUCCAUGCAGGCAUUUUUUUCCUCACUGGUUGCCAGUGGGGAAAACAGCACUUGUGAGCACCUGCCUGUCUUCCCAGGCCCUGUUCAGAAACCCCAUCUGUGCCUUUGGAGAGAGACUACCCCAAGCACGCAGGCCAGCAACUGCAUCUACGGCCUUCAGGACCUGCUCCACUUCCAUAGGGGGUUCACUGCAUGUGAGUAUAUGGUGGGCUCAAUUCCUGCCCAGUAGCCCCUGCCAGAUAACCCAUGCCCACCUCAUUAAGAGAAUGAGGCCACACAGACCCACCCAGGCCGUUGUGGUGAGGGGGUGGCUGGGGCCCUACUUGCCCACCCUUCAUUGCUGCGUCAGGGCCAACUGUCCAACCACAUUCCUGCCCUGA